UCGUUUAACACCUGUUCAUUAUAUGCAGAAAAUGAGCUCGCAAAUGUAGCGAUGGACUUUAAAUAUGAAUGAUUAAUUUGAAAGUACAGACGUUGUCCUUAUUUUAAGCAAGUUUUCGUCACUUGUAAUUUGGUUGGCCAGCUUCAUUACGACAGGAUCUGAAGAAGGAGAAUAGACAACAGCACAGAUGAGAUGAGAGAAAGCAAAGAGGCCUCAG